CCUACGGGUGUCAGCAGUGGGGAAUAUUGGUCAAUGGGCGCAAGCCUGACCCAGCAACGCCGCGUGAAGGAAGAAGGCUUUCGGGUUGUAAACUUCUUUUAUCAGGGACGAAGCAAGUGACGGUACCUGAAGAAAAAGCAUCGGCUAACUCCGUGCCAGCAGCCGCGGUAAUACGGAGGAUGCGAGCGUUAUCCGGAUUUAUGGGGUUUAAAGGGUGCGCAGGCGGAGGCACAAGUCAGCGGUAAAAUCGCGGGGCUCAAACCCGCUCCGCCGUUGAAACUGUGUCCCUUGAGUGCGCGAAGGGUAGGCGGAAUGCGUGGUGUAGCGGUGAAAUGCAUAGAUAUCACGCAGAACUCCGAUCGCGAAGGCAGCCUACCGGCGCGCAACUGACGCUCAUGCACGAAAGCGUGGGUAUCGAACAGGAUUAGAUACCCGUGUAGUC
rnacentral:rRNA from 1 species